rnacentral:sRNA from 1 species
CAGUGGGUGUUGGGCAGCUCGAUCGGAGCCUGGCCCUUUGCGUGUGGGUCAGCCUUCACCCAACUCCGACCCCACCUCCGGAGCUGCCGGGCGGGGGUCGCUUACGGGCCCGGAGGGGCGCCGGGUGCCCCGCCUCUCAGAGACACCGUUCUAUAUUUGAAGCCAGGAGCAGGAAGGGAGUAUGAUGGGGGCUUAGAGUAUAUGCCUGUCGGCUCACAGAUUUGGCUCCUAGCUCCUUUCAGGAAGUAGCUUUUAAUGAAGAGCUCUGGCAAAGUCCUCAUCCUCCCCCAAGAAAACCAUUGUCCUCCACCCAUUUCCCCGCGGUCGGAACCUCCCUAACCGAACCUCUCUCCCUCUCUCUCGUCCUAGCGUACGAUACCUGGUGCGGCGUGGCCCAUGGAUGUACCAGAAAACUGGGGCUCAAGAUCUGCGGCUUCUUGCAAAGGACCAACAGCCUGGAAGAGAAGAGUCGCCUUGUGAGUGCCUUCAAGGAGAGGCAAUCCUCCAAGAACCUGCUUUCCUGUGAAAACAGCGACCGGGAUGCCCGCUUCCGGCGCACAGAGACUGACUUCUCCAAU